rnacentral:tRNA from 1 species
GCUCACAUGGCGAAACUGGCAGCCGCGAGGGUUUUAGGGUCCCUUGUCUUUUAUGACGUGGAAGUUCGAGUCUUCUUGUGAGCA